rnacentral:lncRNA from 1 species
CAACAACACAAAGCCUCUCGCUCUCUCUGUGUAAACUCCAUGAAAUAAAGAGAGUAUCAGUAUAUAUUUUGUUACAUAUAGAGAGAGAGGAAUUAAAUGGGGAAAUAUGUGGAGAUGUUGGAUUUAGGAGUGAGAAUAGCAGCCAGGUUUCAUUCUCACUACCCACAAACUGCCCGGUUGUACUACCACCCUCCGUCCAACUCCGGCAGCCACCACGACCGCGGCCUCGACCAGUUACAAAAUGGAGGCAGAAGCCAUGCACUGAAUAAUCAAGAUUCAACUGAUCAUAUGGCUAGUAGUUAUGCUGACAAGACUUCCAUCAGUUUUGAUGUUACUGAAAUUUUUGUUUAUUCUUUGGUUUGAAAAUUGAAUGGUAAUAUAAUUAUUUUCACAUUCGAUAUUAUUUGUUACACAUUUUUUUGCAAUAUGUUUCUUUAGAUUAGGAUCUACAUUUACAAACUAUAUACGAUCAGGAGGCAUAAUCUUCGUACGUAAUAAAUUAUAACUUUUAUUGAUCACCUGCUUUUUGAUACUUAAAAGUACUUUCUUUUCGUUAAACUUAUUAAGAAAGUAAGUCUUGCUAGUAAAAAAUGGAAAAACAACGGACAGAAGUGAAGCAAGCGAUUAUUAGCUCCGUUUUCCCAAGGUUUCCACCUUACUAACAUAGCUGAAGGUCCUAAUCCUGUACGCAUGAGACUAGAGGCGUCAAGUAAAUUUCGUCGAAAUGAAUAUGAUUAGACAAGCAACUAAAGAUUUUUUUUGUACAUGUUUCUUGAUAAGUGUGUUUUUACACACUUAUUUAGUUCACAAAUAUGACUUAAUAAUGAGUUAAAUAUUUGAAUUGUGGCUUAAUUCUAUGCUAUUUUUGUAUUGUAGGUUAUGUUGAUGAAUGUGAUAGAAUUCACAAGAAAAGAUUCAAAAAAGGACCAAAUUGAAAAAAAAAUUGAAAAUUUCAGGGACCAAAGUGCAAUUAAUCAAAAGAUCAUCCAAAAGCAGAAGCGAGGAGAUGAACGCGCUAAGUACCAAUUGAUUGAAGACACAAGGUUUUGGAAGAAAAAGAAAUGGAAAAGGAGGAGGCCUAGAAAUAUGAGAAAGAAAUUGAAGGACUAAAAUGCAUUACAUAAAAG